rnacentral:rRNA from 1 species
UACGUAGGGUGCGAGCGUUGUCCGGAAUUAUUGGGCGUAAAGAGCUCGUAGGCGGUCUGUCGCGUCGGUCGUGAAAACUUGGGGCUUAACCCUGAGCUUGCGGUCGAUACGGGCAUGACUGGAGUUCGGUAGGGGAGACUGGAAUUCCUGGUGUAGCGGUGAAUGCGCAGAUAUCAGGAGGAACACCGGUGGCGAAGGCGGGUCUCUGGGCCGAUACUGACGCUGAGGAGCGAAAGCGUGGGGAGCGAACAGG